ensembl:lncRNA
UAUUUUUAUUGGUUUCAGCUUGCAGAUACAAACGCUGCCACACAGAGCCUGUCACAAGCUGCAUGUCAAGUGGGCGCACAACUAAAGCUUCAAGGACUGUUUCUACAGAACCCAUUAAACAGCAAUUAAGCAAGCAGAAUAAGAAAUGACCUCCAAUAGUUGUAUAAUAGGAUUUUGAAAAGUCAAAUGCGCAUCUUUAUGGUUUUAGAAAAUAGAAAUUGUUUCUUCAAAGUUUUACUUCCGAAAACCAACUCUUUAAUCAAGCAGUAAGAACCCAAAGCACAGAAUACAUGCCACAAUUCCAUGUGUCAUAUCUGAUUUUUUAUAUUGCUUACCAUAGUUCUUCUAUGACUAUAACUCAGUGUUUCAGGUUUCUAAAUGAUCUGAUAAAUUUGCAAGCAUAUCAAGUAAUAAAACUACCCAAUUGAGCCUUGUCUUCAUUUAGAAACAUCUGCUAAGCAAUCUAAAGGACAAGUCUCAAAAACCCACAAAUUACACAUGCGCUUCUCUCAGAAGGAGCUGCUUGCUGGUCCAUAUAUCCCACUGUGUCUCCACCUGAACAUAACAGGGCAGUGCCUGCUGCAGUUUGGGAUUUCCAGGAGAGAAGUAGAAAAUAGAGCAGUGAAACAAUCUCGAUUUGUCUUUUCCAUAGUUUUCUCUCUCUUCUCACCCCAACACUGUGAAUAACUUCUCAACCAAUCUGUAGUAGAUUUCUGUAACAAACCAGUCCAGAAAACAUCCCUCUGAGCUGGCUGGAAGGUGUGCUAAUUCAUUGGAAUGGAAAAUAUACCCAGUAUUGAGUAUCUAAUGAAAACAUCCAGAUAAAAACAAUCAAAUUAAUUAUUAGUGAAGGUGUUGGUGUUAAAUGUACAUCUAUCUCAGUGUUAAGAGAUGUAAUCACAGGCCUACACCCUUUCACAUAGGCAGUUGUUUCAACUGAUGUUCCUUCAAUUAACACAUUUCUUGGCAAAGUUACUGAUUUUCUAAUCUUGAUUCCAACAUUAAAUGACUGUUGGCUCUGAUCCUACAAACACUUAGGUACACGCUAGAGCUAAUAAAUGAGUCUGCUCAUCCCCUCCUUGCCCUCCUGCCAGGCCUGUGGGCUCGGGUGACAGCACAGGAGAGUAAAGGAGCAGGAGAAGCUCUGCAGGGCCCAGUCCCCACCCCCACAGCCCUGUCUAGGGAUGCUGCUUAAGGACAGGAACCCACAGAGUCAAGGCAGGCUCUCAUCUUCACCUUAUAGGAACAGGAAAUAGCAAGAGUAGGUUUUGUGUGAGCCUUGAAAUCUGCUACGAGUAAGAAGUUGAGAGGAGUUAAUACAAAACCCUCCUUCUUCCCUUCACAAGACUGGGACUUACCCACUCAAAAUACUCCCUGGACUUGUGCUACCACUCAUUUGGGGAUAAAUAACUGAUUCAUUACUGGAAAACUAGCAACCAGAUUUCAUACCUCAAAAAAAUUAGGUUCACAGUUACAUUGCCUGUCAUGGCUGAGCAGUCAGACAUCACUCCCACAUUUUUCCCAGGCUGUCCAAACCCUCAUCCCCCACAGCCCCACGCUGUAGAUUCCUAGGUCCUGCCCUGGGCUGCUCUCUGCAAGCCCUGGGCACUGACGGAUCAGGAAGUUCACACAGGUACCACCAGAAAUGCACCUUAAUGCUUCCCUGCAUUCCCGUUCUUUUAAUUCUCAAACUGCUCCUGAACACUGAAGGUCUAGGAUCUCUGUAGCCACAAUGAAAACUCAGAAAAUGUAUUUUACUGUUUAUAGCUCUGCUCAGUGCAUUUCAGCACACCUGACUGUAUGUUAACGUCACUGAACAUCAAAGUUUACACACUAAAUUCUCUGCUAUUGCAAAGAAUAUACAAGAACUGGAAGCUUUAAAUGUUCUGGAAUGAUCUUUUGGUGGAUAUUGCAGAACUAAGACUUGUGCAUGGUAUAAAUGGCUCUAAUGAAGCUCAAGAGUAUAAUGUGAGAAGCUUGGAAACAUGGAGGACAGAGAGAAUUUGCUGUGCAUUUCAGUCUUUGGUAAAAAAAUAAUGCCUUUCAAUCGCUUAGAUAAUUUUUCAGGAAAAUACUUAAAUAGUUAAUCUUGUAUGUUAAGUCCAAGAAAAUUCUUAACAGCUAUUCUGAAUUUUCAAAUUCUCUAUUUAGAAGUAAAGGCCAAAAGCAGUGAUAACCUAGCUCCGGGCUGGCAUGUCCACAUGAAGUGUGCAAGAAAGACAAAGCUGCUCAAUUUGAAGCCUCCACUUUGAAAUACCCUAAAAUAAUUUUGAGAGCAGUGGUUUUUCCAGUCUCUCUGCUGUAGAGACUCACUCAAAUGGCUUUAUGAAACCGCACAGUAAAUCAAGGCAGAGCAAACCAAGCCACCAUAAAGACAGCUUUCCAUCCAGGGAGGAUUUGGCAGGGACCACCACACUGGGCCAUUGUGGGAUUUGCUUAAGCAAAGCUCACCUAAACAGCCCCAUAACUAUCUCUUCAGAGGGCAGUGCUGCCUCCAGUGUGCACCCCCUGCUCAUGUGGCUCACACAAGCACCAGUUCCUAAAGCCUCCCAGCCCUUCUCCUUCCACAGAGCCCUGCACUGGGCUGGGCAGUCACCUGGUGGCUCCAGCAGCAGCCAGCCUGGCUCUCACACUGCUCUCAGCACACAGGGAAGGAACC